UCACUGGGUUUAAAGGGUGCGUAGGCGGUUUCGUAAGUCAGUUGUGAAAUACUUCAGCUUAACUGUCGAGGUGCCAUUGAUACUGUGAGACUUGAGUACUGAUGAGGUAGGCGGAAUGUGCGGUGUAGCGGUGAAAUGCUUAGAUAUCGUCCAGAACACCGAUAGCGAAGACAGCUUACUAAGCUGUAAUUGACGCUGAGGCACGAAAGUGUGGGGAUCAAACAGGAUUAGAUACCCUGGUAGUCCACACCUUAAACGAUGAUCACUCGAUGUUGGCGAUACACAGUCAGCGUCUUAGCGAAAGCGUUAAGUAAUCCACCUGGGGAGUACGCCGGCAAGGGUAAACUCAAAGGAAUGACGGGGGCCGCACAAGCGGGGAGCAUGUGUUAAUCAGAUGCUACGCGAGGAACCUUA
rnacentral:rRNA from 1 species